GCUCAUGAUAAUUAAAUAGCCGCAGUACCCUGACUGUGCAAAGGUAGCAUAAUCAGUUGGCUCUUAAUUAGAGUCUGGAAUGAAUGAAAACAUGGGUGGUAACUAUCUAAGUGUAUUUUUUUGAACUUAAUAAAUAAGUGAAAAUACUUAUAUUAAUACAAUAGACGAGAAGACCCUAGAAACUUGAAUUGAUUUUUGUUGGGGCGACAAAAUUACAUUUAACUAAUUUUUUUUAACGUGACGUUAGAACGAAAGAAUAAGUUACUCUAGGGAUAACAGCAUAAUUUCAAUAGUUUGUGACCUCGAUGUUGGACUAGGUAUUAUAUCCUUAAGAUAAGGAUAUAAGGUGCUCUGUUCGAGCAAAUACACCUACGUGAUCUG
rnacentral:rRNA from 1 species